rnacentral:miRNA from 1 species
UACUGUACUUUUUUUUUUGU